CAGUUGGAACACAGCAGUGAAAGUGUUUGUGUUCACUUUGCAGAUUCAAAGAUGGUCUUUCAGCUCUUCAGUUUCUGAGUGCACUACAGCAACACCCUACUUUGCUGACCCCGGUCCUGUGCCACGCUGAAAAGCGACUCACUGCCUUUGAACUUGAAAGAAUCUUCAAACCUGACCUCAGCCCUUCAGGAAGUACCAGGAGACUAAAAGAAAGUCAAACGUUGGCCUACUGGGUCGACCUUCUCCUUCAUUGUGAAGAAGGUGAGGCUGCUGUGUCUGUGGAGGAUAUUUUGAUGUUUGCAACUGGGCUGACAUCACUUCCCCCAUCUGGCUUGGAUCCAUUGCCACAAAUAGAGUUCCUGGAUGAUUCACCAUUCCCAAUGGCAAAUACAUGUUCAAAAGUUUUGAAAUGACCAC